GAAUGGAUAUGCAUAUUGAGCUGUCUUACUGUACUUUCGAGGCGUUCAAGAUUUUAGCCAAGAACUAUCUGGAUCUUGAUUCUCAUCCCCUGUUCAAACAGAUCGAGUCUUUAAUAAAGGAAACAAAGAUUGCGCCAGCUGAUGUUGCUGAGAACUUGAUGAAGAAAAACCGCGAAAUCGAUGUCGAUGGAUCUCUUAAAGAUCUAAUUCAAGCUCUAGAGAGAAGGAAGAAGGUUCAGAGAGAUCAAGUAGAUGUACACAAGGACAAAAAGAAGGACAAGAUAUUCAAAGCAUUUCGCAUGUUAUUUUAAGUCUAGUUCAUGGUUAACUUUUCAGAAUCUAACCAUUAUGGUGUUCUUGAACUCUUUUAGCAAUUUCAGAGACAGUGUAUAUGUUCCUAACGUUUCUAGCUUUCAUUUUCUGCAAAAUCAUGCUCCUUGUCUUUAAAAAAUCAAGAACACAACACUACAAAAUCUUGUCUGUUCUAAGAAUUCAAGGAUAUAUAAAACAAGAAAAUGAAAUCUCUCCUGACUUCACUCGUGAAUCAGACUAAUAUUAGAUAAAAUGAAAUGUCAUACAAAUACAAGUACGUACCUGUUUCCUAAUAUGCCCUUAACAAUAAUCUCUAAUACAUAUUAACACCACAAACAAGAAAACAAAGAAACCUCUUUUUUCUCUAAUCCAAAUCAAAGAAACUAAAAAAGGGUUCCAAAGUACCUGAAACUUUUCCCAUGAAUGAUCAUCUUCAAACCAAUCCUUGAACGUAAUCUCGCAUGACCAUCCACAGAUCCCUGUUUCAGGUAUCAGCAAAGCUAACAUUGAUAUCAUUUUCAAAUGUUAUAAUGAAAAUUUGCAGGAAAGAUUGUAAGCAAUCAGAUUUUUACCGUUUGUACAUGGCUUUAAAGGAAUCUGUAUACGAGUUUUAUUGAUAAGAUGUAUCUGUAAUUUGAUACAACAGAACAAUAAUGGAGAUUUUCAAAAAGGCUGAAACCGUGCGUUUACGUAGCUACCAUGACAAGUACCUUCUAGCAGAGGAGGAUGAAGAAUCCGUGAGCCAGGACAGAGAUGGUCGGUCUAUGAAUGCA
rnacentral:lncRNA from 1 species